rnacentral:rRNA from 1 species
GACCUCAAGUCAGGCAGGACUACCCGCUGAACUUAAGCAUAC